GAUGAAGAACGCAGCGAAAUGCGAUACGUAAUGUGAAUUGCAGAUUUCAGUGAAUCAUCGAAUCUUUGAACGCACAUUGCGCCCGCUAGUAUUCUGGCGGGCAUGCCUGUUCGAGCGUCAUUUCAACCAUCAAGCCCUAGGCUUGCGUUGGAGCCCUGCGGCUGCCGCAGGCUCCCAAAUCCAGUGGCGGGCUCGUCGUCGUACCGAGUGCAGUAAACAUCCUCGCUCAGGGAACGUGACGGGUUCUUGCCGUGAAACCCCCCACAUAUCAAGGUUGACCUCGGAUCAGGUAGGAAAUCCCGCUGAACUUAAGCAUAUCAAUAAGCGGAGGA
rnacentral:misc_RNA from 1 species